GUGUUCUUCCUGGCCGGUCGUGAGAACGCGUCUAAUAAAUAAUAGGUGUUCCUGGAGACCUUGGAUGUCAGAAGAGGCUUCUUUGCAAGAGGACCUGGGUCCCUGGGUCUGUGUCCCUGCGUUCCACAUACUGGCUCACAACUGUCUGUAACUGCAGUUCCAGGAGCUCCAGCGCCCUCUUCUGGCCUUUGUGGCACUGCAUUAACACAGUGCAUCUAUGUCCAGGCCGAACAUCAUACACAUAAAAGAAUAAAAUAGAAAAUGUUUAAGUUA